rnacentral:rRNA from 1 species
AGAGUUUGAUCCUGGCUCAGGAUGAACGCUGGCGGCGUGCUUAACACAUGCAAGUCGAACGAGCCUUCGGGCUAGUGGCGGACGGGUGAGUAACGCGUGAGAAUCUGCCCUCAGGAGGGGGAUAACGGCUGGAAACGGCCGCUAAUACCCCAUAUGCCGCGAGGUGAAAUGAGAAAUCGCCUGAGGAUGAGCUCGCGUCUGAUUAGCUAGUUGGUGGGGUAAGAGCCUACCAAGGCAUCGAUCAGUAGCUGGUCUGAGAGGAUGAUCAGCCACACUGGGACUGAGACACGGCCCAGACUCCUACGGGAGGCAGCAGUGGGGAAUUUUCCGCAAUGGGCGCAAGCCUGACGGAGCAACGCCGCGUGAGGGAUGAAGGCCUCUGGGCUGUAAACCUCUUUUCUCAAGGAAGAAGAACUGACGGUACUUGAGGAAUAAGCCACGGCUAAUUCCGUGCCAGCAGCCGCGGUAAUACGGGAGUGGCAAGCGUUAUCCGGAAUUAUUGGGCGUAAAGCGUCCGCAGGCGGUCUUGAAAGUCUGUUGUUAAAGCGUGGAGCUCAACUCCAUUUCAGCAAUGGAAACUAGAAGACUAGAGUGUGGUAGGGGCAGAGGGAAUUCCCGGUGUAGCGGUGAAAUGCGUAGAUAUCGGGAAGAACACCAGUGGCGAAGGCGCUCUGCUGGGCCAUAACUGACGCUCAUGGACGAAAGCCAGGGGAGCGAAAGGGAUUAGAUACCCCUGUAGUCCUGGCCGUAAACGAUGAACACUAGGUGUCGGGGGAAUCGACCCCCUCGGUGUCGUAGCCAACGCGUUAAGUGUUCCGCCUGGGGAGUACGCACGCAAGUGUGAAACUCAAAGGAAUUGACGGGGGCCCGCACAAGCGGUGGAGUAUGUGGUUUAAUUCGAUGCAACGCGAAGAACCUUACCAGGGUUUGACAUCCUGCGAAUCUUUUGGAAACAGAAGAGUGCCUUCGGGAGCGCAGAGACAGGUGGUGCAUGGCUGUCGUCAGCUCGUGUCGUGAGAUGUUGGGUUAAGUCCCGCAACGAGCGCAACCCACGUCUUUCGUUGCCAGCAUUGAGUUGGGCACUCUAGAGAGACCGCCGGUGAUAAACCGGAGGAAGGUGUGGAUGACGUCAAGUCAUCAUGCCCCUUACAUCCUGGGCUACACACGUACUACAAUGCUACGGACAGAGGGCAGCAACUCGCGAGAGCUAGCAAAUCCCAUAAACCGUGGCUCAGUUCAGAUCGUAGGCUGCAACUCGCCUACGUGAAGGAGGAAUCGCUAGUAAUCGCAGGUCAGCAUACUGCGGUGAAUACGUUCCCGGGCCUUGUACC